GGUCAUCUUUUUUGCUAAUUUAGGGCUUUUGUUUUAUGAUAUGUAGGACAUUGCUGUCUUGAGUACGGAAGAAAACACUUUAGUUAGUUAGAAAUUUUAUCUUACAAUGUUGUACACAUACACAUAACUGCCGCCAGGGCAGAGAGGCUAACCAGAAGGCAGCCAGAGAGGCUAACCAGAACGCCCAGCAGUAAGAGAAAGAGAAGAGAGAGGAUCAGGUUGGGUGAAGUCUGAGUAACCCAACCUCUUAUGACUAUGCUAUGCUUUAUUACCUUAUUAUUUUCUCACCAUACUAUCUCAUUCAUAUGUGAAAACUAACUACCAAAGAUGUUGAAACUCUUAAACCUAAAAUGUUGACACUUAAAAUAUAAAAUAAAUAAGUUUCUUUCCAACAAAUUCUUUUUCCAAGAGCUAUAUGCAAUCUAGCAACACACUGUGUGUUAGGAUGGGUAGGGAGUACACUGUGUGUUAGGAUGGGUAGGGAGUGGGGGUUCGGGGUGUGUGGGUAGGAUGGAGUAGAGUUGGUGCGGGGUGUGAUGGUCCAGAGUUGAGGAUUGAGAUGUUGGGUGGGUGGAGAGGAGACAAUGAACUUGGAAUAUCACUAAUGAAACUUGUGAGCUUGUUUUCGUAGAAAAAAUGUUCUCUUCCAUACCAAACACACUCUUAGUGUUUUUCAAAGAAUUUCUGAUUUGCCAUCAAGACAAACUAUUUAGCAUUGGAAUAAACAUGCAAAUGUAACUUGAGGACUCCUAUAGCAAAGUCAUUUUUGAUAUGGGAUAGAGGUGUAUUUGAUAGUUUUUUUUGUGAAUUUUAGUUAACCAACAAAACGUAAGCCCAGUCUUAUGUGUUAAAAGAAGGAGGCUCCGCUCACUUAUCAUAGAAAAAUUCGGAUGGAACAGUGUUUACUGUUUCCGGAAGUUAGUUAAAUAACUCACUCUGUGAAGGAUAGUUUCUAGAUUCUUCCGUACACCACUAUACACCACAAUAUAUACAUGCUAUUCAUUCUAUGUAAUUCAAGAGAUCACAAGAUUAAUAAAUGAGAAAUCUUUCAACUUACUCCUCUGUUUUUCUCCGGUCUUUCUUCCUUGAUUUUCAUGUUUUCAAAGUUCAUAAUGCAAGAACUCUGAUUCUGUUCAUGGUAUCAAAGAACAAAUAUUGAGUUUUUGCUUCCGCGUUUACAACUUCUGAAAAGAUAGAUUUUGUUUCAAGAAUCUCAAGAUAUCAGUUCAUAACAAUGGUGUUGCCUUCUAACAAUGCUGAGGAAUGUGUGAGUUCAGCAAAUGGUGCAAAUGGAGCCCAAAAUUCUAUAAGAAUGGACUAUAACCAUCCAUUGUUCUUGCACCCUUCGGAUAUGCAGGUCGGGUUGGGUCCAAGAUUGAUAGAAGGUCUACUACUGGUUACUGUGUCUUUGUUGGUGGAAACUUGGUAUCACGGAGAAGCAAGAAACAAAAUGUUGUAUCUCGUUCCAGUGCAGAAUCCGAAUAUAGAGCUAUGACACAAUCCUUAUGUUAGAUUAUAUGGAAACAUCAUCUUUUAACUGCAAUUUAUUUGAAGCAUCAUACUAUCCCAUCGAAACUUUGGUGUGAUAAUUAAGCCGCUCUUUGUGUUGCCUCAAAUUCAGUUUAUCAUGAAAGAACUAGACAUAUUGAGGUUGAUUGUCAUAGUAUUCCUGAGGAGAUUCGAGAGAAUUUGAUUUCAACAGGCUACGUGAUGACGGGGGAGCAAUUAGCUGAUUUGUUCACUAAGGCAUUGAAUGGACCUCGAGUUGGUUACCUUUGUAACAAGCUAGGCAUGAUCAAUAUCUAUUCUCCAGCUUGAGGGGCAGUACUAAAGAAUGUACACACUCUUAUGUAAAAUGUACAUAGAAUAGUAUAUCUUUAGAGAUUAGAUAGCUUAUCUUUAAGGAUACUUGCAGAUCUUCAGGGAUCUUUUUGAUUAUAACCUUAUUUAGCAUUGCAGUAAAUGUAUAUGUAUCUGUCCUAUUGUGGAAUAGAAGACAUGAAUUUACUUCAAUACUUUGUUCAAUAACACGCAUAUUCAUCACCUAAUAUAUUUUUGCAAUUUUUCUAUAAUGAACUAAAUGAAUGAGCUUUAUCCUAUUCGUGAACAUUGAGCUAUCGACGACAUAGAUUGUCCUUGAAUUUGUGGCUAGUGUCUCUUGUGUACUUGUGUUCUUUUAGCGCAAGUUAGGUUUAUUGUUCUUAUCUGUCAUGACUUGAAGCCUUUUCGAUUUUCCCA